CCCUUAGAUGUUCUGGGCUGCACGCGUGCUACAAUGGCGUUUCCAGCAAGUCUGCGAACCCGAGAGGGCCAGCGGAUCUUCGAAUUGGCGUCGUGAUCGGGACAGUCGAUUGCAAUUAUUUGACUCAAACGAGGAAUUCCUUGUAAUCGCGAUUCAUCAUAUCGCGCUGAAUACGUCCCUGCCCUUUGUACACACCGCCCGUCGCUCCUAUCGAUUGAGCGAUCCGGUAAAUGUUUUGGAUUGGUGCCGGGGCGGCUAGCUGCCGGUCGCUACGAAAUUUUGUGAACCUUAUCGCUUAGAGGAAGGAAAAGUCGUAACA
rnacentral:rRNA from 1 species